GAUCAUGGCUCAGGAUGAACGCUAGCUACAGGCUUAACACAUGCAAGUCGAGGGGCAUCGAGAGGAAAGCUUGCUUCCUGUCGGCGACCGGCGCACGGGUGAGUAACGCGUAUCCAACCUUCCCCUUAGUAGGGCAUAGCCCGGCGAAAGUCGGAUUAAUACCCUAUGUUUUUCCGAUGAGGACAUCUGAGCUGGAAUAAAGAUUUAUCGCUAAGGGAUGGGGAUGCGUCUGAUUAGGUAGUCGGCGGGGUAACGGCCCACCGAGCCAACGAUCAGUAGGGGUUCUGAGAGGAAGGUCCCCCACAUUGGUACUGAGACACGGACCAAACUCCUACGGGAGGCAGCAGUGAGGAAUAUUGGUCAAUGGGCGAGAGCCUGAACCAGCCAAAAGUAGCGUGCAGGAUGACGGCCCUAUGGGUUGUAAACUGCUUUUAUCGGGGGAUAAAGUGAGGGACGCGUCCCUUUUUGUAGGUACCCGAUGAAUAAGGACCGGCUAAUUCCGUGCCAGCCGCCGC
rnacentral:rRNA from 1 species